rnacentral:rRNA from 1 species
AGAGUUUGAUCCUGGCUCAGGACGAACGCUGGCGGCGUGCUUAACACAUGCAAGUCGAACGGUAAGGCCCUUCGGGGUACACGAGUGGCGAACGGGUGAGUAACACGUGGGUAAUCUGCCCUGCACAUCGGGAUAAGCCUGGGAAACUGGGUCUAAUACCGAAUAGGACCACAGGACACAUGUCCUGUGGUGGAAAGCUUUUGCGGUGUGGGAUGGGCCCGCGGCCUAUCAGCUUGUUGGUGGGGUGAUGGCCUACCAAGGCGACGACGGGUAGCCGGCCUGAGAGGGUGUCCGGCCACACUGGGACUGAGAUACGGCCCAGACUCCUACGGGAGGCAGCAGUGGGGAAUAUUGCACAAUGGGCGAAAGCCUGAUGCAGCGACGCCGCGUGGGGGAUGACGGCCUUCGGGUUGUAAACCUCUUUCACCAUCGACGAAGGUCCGGGUUUUCUCGGGCUGAUGGUAGGUGGAGAAGAAGCACCGGCCAACUACGUGCCAGCAGCCGCGGUAAUACGUAGGGUGCGAGCGUUGUCCGGAAUUACUGGGCGUAAAGAGCUCGUAGGUGGUUUGUCGCGUUGUUCGUGAAAUCUCACGGCUUAACUGUGAGCGUGCGGGCGAUACGGGCAGAUUUGAGUACUGCAGGGGAGACUGGAAUUCCUGGUGUAGCGGUGGAAUGCGCAGAUAUCAGGAGGAACACCGGUGGCGAAGGCGGGUCUCUGGGCAGUAACUGACGCUGAGGAGCGAAAGCGUGGGGAGCGAACAGGAUUAGAUACCCUGGUAGUCC